GCAUCAAAUUGGCCUAAAUCUUUAGACAUGACAGUUUAUCUCUUCUGAAACAGAACAGACGUUCUGUGGUGGUGUAUCUCUUCCAUAGGCAGUGAAAGUCCCUUUGUAGACCAUUCUUUUUUAGGAAAUCCCCUUCUACAUGAUUUCUGUGCUUGCAUACAUUUAAUCCCAUAAAGUGAAUGUAUCUGACUUCCUUUGAAUAGACACCUCUCAGGCUAUUCGGAAGAUGGGACACUUGCUGUUCGUCAAAUUACAAACCCCUCAGCAGUCCAAGAGGUGGAUGGUUACAAGUUGGGACGGAGAGCAAGAUAGCAUGGUGCGAUCACUUCUGCAACCUGUUUUAAUAUAAUGGCUCUUCUCUGCUGUGGGUGUAUGUCUCAGAAGCCAUGCUGGUCCACGCAAAUGACAUAGAAGCCACCCCUCCUGGCAGUCCUCCUGUUGCACAUGGUAGAGGACCCCCUCCACCCCUCACACAAUCUUCUUUUACCAUUUCUCAUUGCCUUCAUCCCCCUGAGAAAAUCUGUCUGUAUGUUACUGACAACGUGUUGCCAUCGAUACCUAGUGCUAAUUAAGCUCUGGCUGCUACGAGAAAGUUUCACCAGUGGGUCUUGCUGAUUAUAAGCCAUAAAUACAAGACAACAAUUUCUGAGUAUUUCAAAUAGAGUUUAAUUCUUGACUACAAGUCCUUCCAAUCUGGUGGUCUGUGGAGUCUUUUGUCUUGCUUCCUGUAAAUAAACGUGACUGAAAAAGAAUUGAAUUCCUUCAUAACAUGUAAGGGAGGAAAAAACAACAUUUUCGUAUUGAAACUCAUGAAUGACAGCAGCUGAAAGUUAAAUCUAUUUGAUCGUUCCAUCAGCCUUCCAAGCCAACUCCUUAACUAGAUUGAAAUGUUUCAGUGGGAUGUUGAAAUGCUGAAUAUAUGUGGGAGGGAUCUACACUUUACAAUGCCCGGGACCGGGAAACAGUGUUGUUCACAGUGCACUUGUAAAAAAUAAUGUAAGUAAGUGUUUUCUUGCAAUCAGUAAGGUAUUGAUUCAAAAAAACAGGAUUUGAGAACAUACUUUACUAUAAAGAUCGUGUUCAAUCCACGCAUCUUGGAUAUUUGACUUGUACCUCAAUUUUAGAUGCCUGUUGAAUCACCAUUCCCAAAGUAAGGGCUGACGUUCUUUAAUAAAGUGGCGGGAUAGAGGUCUUCAAGAGACACCCAUCUCUUUCUUUAUAUGGACACCUUGAUGAACCAGUCCUCUUAAAGUAAGUGUUUAAAUGCUAAAGUAUAGCACCUAUAGUAGGCAGACUGUGUUGCAAAAAGAUUCACUAACCACAUUGCUGAUUUUUUUCCCUCAGAGCAAUUCCUUAAACUAUGAUUGUUGUAGUCUGAAAUAAUAAUAUAGUAUGCUGUUUGCUGUAUCUUUUAUGUAGUUGUUCCUACUUGCAGUCUAUAUUUGUUUAAUGGAGAAGCUCAAAAUGUAGUACACUGCUCCUGCUGAUCAAAGUCGCAAAA